rnacentral:rRNA from 1 species
AGCCCAGACUCCUACGGGAGGCAGCAGUGGGGGAUAUUGCACAAUGGGGGAAACCCUGAUGCAGCGACGCCGCGUGGGUGAAGAAGCGCCUCGGCGCGUAAAGCCCUGUCAGCAGGGAAGAAAAUGACGGUACCUGAAGAAGAAGCCCCGGCUAACUAUGUGCCAGCAGCCGCGGUAAUACGUAGGGGGCAAGCGUUAUCCGGAUUUACUGGGUGUAAAGGGAGCGUAGGCGGCAGUGCAAGUCAGAAGUGAAAGCCCGGGGCUCAACUCCGGGACUGCUUUUGAAACUGUACAGCGUGAUUGCAGGAGAGGCAAGUGGAAUUCCUAGUGUAGCGGUGAAAUGCGUAGAUAUUAGGAGGAACACCAGUUGCGAAGGCAGCUCUCUGGACUGUAACUGACACUGAGGCACGAAAGCGUGGGGAGCAAACAGGAUUAGAUACCCCGGUACUA